rnacentral:lncRNA from 1 species
UUCAAUUAUGAUGAAACAAAAGGAUGAAAUGGAAUGGAAUGAAAAUGAUCUCAAAAACAAACACGAACCAAUAUUAGAAAAUAUUGACCCAAAUGUUUAUAAGUUUUCAAGGUGGUCGGAUGGAGAAUAUGAGAACCUCGAACCGCUACUUAGCAAAGUAGGAACCUUGGUAUGUUUGAACGCCACACUACGAGUAGUGAUAAGUUCAGUUUUCGACAAAGAAAGCGGAUGACACAACUAGAACACUAGGUAGCCAAUGAAUCCUUGAACGAAAAUAGAGAAAAGUUUGCCUCACAAAUUUGGCAGCAUAAC